UCCCUACGGGGGGCAGCAGUGGGGGAUAUUGCACAAUGGGGGAAACCCUGAUGCAGCGACGCCGCGUGUGGGAAGACGGUCCUCUGGAUUGUAAACCACUGUCCCCAGGGACGAAGAUGACGGUACCUGGGGAGGAAGCUCCGGCUAACUACGUGCCAGCAGCCGCGGUAAUACGUAGGGAGCGAGCGUUGUCCGGAAUUACUGGGUGUAAAGGGAGCGCAGGCGGCACGGCAAGCCUGAUGUGAAAGCCCGCGGCCCAACCGCGGGACUGCAUUGGGAACUACCGGGCUGGAGUGCCGGAGAGG
rnacentral:rRNA from 1 species